AGUGAACGCUGGCGGCAGGCCUAACACAUGCAAGUCGAACGGCAGCACAAGAGAGCUUGCUCUCUGGGUGGCGAGUGGCGGACGGGUGAGGAAUGCAUCGGAAUCUGCCCAUUUGUGGGGGAUAACCUCGGGAAACCGGGACUAAUACCGCAUACGACCUACGGGUGAAAGCAGGGCAUCUUCGGACCUUGCGCAGAUGGAUGAGCCGAUGCCGGAUUAGCUAGUUGGAGGGGUAAAGGCCCACCAAGGCGACGAUCCGUAGCUGGUCUGAGAGGAUGAUCAGCCACACUGGGACUGAGACACGGCCCAGACUCCUACGGGAGGCAGCAGUGGGGAAUAUUGGACAAUGGGCGCAAGCCUGAUCCAGCCAUGCCGCGUGUGUGAAGAAGGCCUUCGGGUUGUAAAGCACUUUUGUUGGGAAAGAAAAGCAGCCGGUUAAUACCCGGUUGUCAUGACGGUACCCAAAGAAUAAGCACCGGCUAACUUCGUG
rnacentral:rRNA from 1 species